UGUGUAGGCGGUUCCUUAAGUUUGCUGUGAAAUCUCCCGGCUUAACCGGGAGGGUACGGUGAAUACUGAGGGACUAGAGUACGGGAGAGGAAAGUGGAAUUCCUGGUGUAGCGGUGAAAUGCGUAGAUAUCAGGAGGAACACCGGUGGUGUAGACGGCUUUCUGGACCGUAACUGACGCUGAGACACGAAAGCGUGGGUAGCAAACA
rnacentral:rRNA from 1 species